GAGCACGUAGGUGGGUUUGUAAGUCAGAUGUGAAAGCCUUCUGUUCAACGGAAGAAUUGCAUCUGAAACUGCGAGUCUUGAGUGUUGGAGGGGAGAAUGGAACUUCUGGUGGAGCGGUGAAAUGCGUAGAUAUCAGAAGGAACUCCGGCGACGAAAGCGAUUCUCUGGCCUAUUACUGACACUCAGUGUGCGAAAGCUAGGGGAGCAAACGGGAUUAGAUACCCCGGUAGUCCUAGCCGUAAACGAUGGGCACUAAGUAGAGGGGUUUU
rnacentral:rRNA from 1 species